AUAUAUAUAUAUAUAUAUAUAUAUAUAUAUAUAUAUAUUGCUCUUUGGACCUUCCACAUAUUUUCAUGAAUUUGGAGAAGAAUGACCUUGCUGUACAAUUUCUUGAAUAUAAAUUUCAGCUGCACCAUCUUUUCGAUUUUCCCAUCAUUUCACUUCCUUGACCGAAGUAACAUUCCAACCUGUGCUGCCUAUUGUCAGUUGUUUAUACUCAAUUUGUUACAAAUAAACAUGCAGAAAGAUAAUAACAGCUCAAAAAUAUGAAACCGAAGCAACAUUCCAACCUGUGCUGCCUAUUGUCAGUUGUUUAUACUCAAUUUGUUACAAAUAAACAUGCAGAAAGAUAAUAACAGCUCAAAAAUAUGAACCCAUGAUUUGCUGAAUAAGGUAUCCUCC
rnacentral:lncRNA from 1 species